rnacentral:rRNA from 1 species
AGUGAACGCUGGCGGUAGGCCUAACACAUGCCAGUCGAACGGCAGCACAGUAAGAGCUUGCUCUUACGGGUGGCGAGUGGCGGACGGGUGAGGCAUACAUCGGAAUCUACUUUUUCGUGGGGGAUAACGUAGGGAAACUUACGCUAAUACCGCAUACGACCUACGGGUGAAAGCAAGGGAUCUUCGGACCUUGCGCGAUUGAAUGAGCCGAUGUCGGAUUAGCUAGUUGGCGAGGUAAAGGCCCACCAAGGCGACGAUCCGUAGCUGGUCUGAGAGGAUGAUCAGCCACACUGGAACUGAGACACGGUCCAGACUCCUACGGGAGGCAGCAGUGGGGAAUAUUGGACAAUGGGCGCAAGCCUGAUCCAGCCAUACCGCGUGGGUGAAGAAGGCCUUCGGGUUGUAAAGCCCUUUUGUUGGGAAAGAAAAGCAGCAGGUUAAUACCCCGCUGUUCUGACGGUACCCAAAGAAUAAGCACCGGCUAACUUCGUG